rnacentral:rRNA from 1 species
UACGUAGGGUGCGAGCGUUAAUCGGAAUUACUGGGCGUAAAGCGUGCGUAGGCGGUUCCUCAAGUCCGUUGUGAAAGCCCCGGGCUCAACCUGGGAAUGGCAGUGGAAACUAGGGGACUGGAAUCUGGCAGAGGGGGGUGGAAUGCCGCGGUGUAGCAGUGAAAUGCGUAGAGAUGCGGCGGAACACCGAUGGCGAAGGCAGCCCCCUGGGCUGAGAUUGACGCUCAGGCACGAAAGCGUGGGGAGCAAACAGG